UAGAUUGACAGCUCUUUCUUGAUUUUAUGGGUGGUGGUGCAUGGCCGUUCUUAGUUGGUGGAGUGAUUUGUCUGGUUAAUUCCGUUAACGAACGAGACCCCAGCCUGCUAAAUAGCGUGCGUGGCCUCUGGCCGCGGCAAGCUUCUUAGAGGGACUAUCGCUCGUUAUAGGCGAGGGAAGUUUGGGGCAAUAACAGGUCUGUGAUGCCCUUAGAUGUUCUGGGCCGCACACGGGCUACACUGACGCGUGCAACGAGCAUACCAGCUGGCCCGACAGGGCGUAGGCUAAUCUUUUGAACUCGCGUCGUGCCAGGGAUUGACCAUUGCAAUUGUUGGUCAUGCAACGAGGAAUGCCUUGUAAACGCGGGUCAUCAACCCGCAUUGAAUACGUCCCUGCCCUUUGUACACACCGCCCGUCGCUCCUACCGAUGAAUGUUCCGAUGAAAUUUUCGGAGGGCGCCUGUGAAGCGGUGCAAACCGCGGAACGGGAGGCCCGAAGUUGCUUAAAUCUGAACAUUUCGAGGAAGGAGAAGUCGUAACAAGGUAGCCG
rnacentral:rRNA from 1 species